rnacentral:rRNA from 1 species
CUAGCGACUUCAGAGUUUGAUCCUGGCUCAGGAUGAACGCUAGCGGCAGGCUUAACACAUGCAAGUCGAGGGGCAGCAUAAACAUUGCUUGCAAUGUUUGAUGGCGACCGGCGCACGGGUGCGUAACGCGUAUGCAACCUACCUGUAACAGGGGGAUAACACUGAGAAAUUGGUACUAAUACCCCGUAACAUCAUUAAGGGCAUCCUUUUUGGUUGAAAGUUCCGGCGGUUACAGAUGGGCAUGCGUUGUAUUAGCUAGUAGGUGAGGUAACGGCUCACCUAGGCGACGAUACAUAGGGGGACUGAGAGGUUAACCCCCCACAUUGGUACUGAGACACGGACCAA